AAGAGUAUAAGAUAUAUGAAUAACAGUUGUGUGCUAAAUAAAGGCAAUUAUUUGUAUUUCCGAAUCCAUUCUAUACCUUUAUACGUUGAUCAACAACAUUCGGUUUCAGUGCAAGACAGUAGUACCAGCAGCAAUUAAGAUGGAACUCCACGGCUUCUGUGAUGCCAGCGAGAAGGCCUACGGAGCCUGCGUCUAUCUCCGAACCAUUAGCUCCGACGGCACCAUUCAAAUCCAUUUGCUCACCGCGAAGUCAGAGGUCGCUCCACUCAAAACUCUGACCAUACCACGACUCAAACUGAGCAGAGCACUUCGUCUGGCUUCCUUGAUCUCAGUCCAGAAGGCUUUAACGAUCAAGAUCUCUCGGAUCGUAUUAGGUCGUCCCAUAAGUUUGUGCCGACCUUUGUGUAUACAUUUCAUAUUUUAAAGAAAAACAAUUAUCCAUACAGAAUAAUGAAAAAUGGGAAGAAGUUGUACAACGAGAGCGGGAUUACAUUUUUCAAAUGAAACUGAAAGUGGAUCAAACCAAGACCAUCCUCUCCGACUGGAGUCAUGUGCUCACGGCCGACAACCUAGCAGAUCUAUUCUCCCGAGGUCAGACGCCCUAGGAAUUCCAGCGCCCGAACAUUUGGAAAAAUGGACCAAGUGGCUUGAGUAGAAAGAAGAAAAUUGGCCGAUUGGAUCUCAACACCGCUGGGCGAAAUCCCGGAACAAAAAAAAGACGAUAGACGAUCUGCCUAGUCACGAACACCGUCGACCAUACUUUAUUAAAAAGAUAUUUGUCCUGAACAAAUCUCGUGUGUCGUCGGGCGGUGUCUUCAAUGGAGAUACAAACAAAUCGAGUUGUAUCUCUUACCGUAAACGAAUUAGCUUCGGUACAUAAAAAGUUGAUACGGAUACUUCAAGAUAUGUAUUUCUCGAAUGAAAUUUUACGCUCCAGAAGGACAGGGUCGAGGACAUCGGAGGGAAACUCCAACCCUUAAAUCCCUUCAUCGACAAGGAGGGGAUACUACGAAUCGAAGGGCGACCCAGUAACUCACCGAUGCCCUUCCAACAAAAACACCCCAUUAUUCUCCCGAAGUCGCUUGUGACGGAAACAGUCAUAGAACAGGAACACCGGAAAAACCAUCAUUCAGAGACACAGGCCACCUUAUACGCGGUCAGACAGCGCUACUGGCCUGUCGACGGUCGUAGUCAAGUAUGGCGCACCAUCAAAAGGUGCGUGUGACGGUGUCGAGCCAACCCACCAUCGGUAGAAUACCUGACGGGAGAUCUUCCAGAAGCACGUAUCACCGAGACGCGUCCCUUCACUAACAUCGGGAUCGAUUAUUGCGGCUCGUUCUAUAUCAAGGAAAGGAGGGAUCGCAAUCGACGAAAGGUUGAGGUUUACUUCGCCAUAUUCGUAUGUCUGGUGAUCAAAGCUGUUCACAUUGAAUUGGUGAGUGAUCUCACAACCGACGCAUUCCUUGCCGCCCUCCGCCGAAUCAUAUCUCGGCGAGGAUAUUGAGCGACAAUUCUGUCAGACAACGGUAUCAACUUCGUAGAAGCUAACAGAGGAUUGAAGGAACUCCGGAGCCUCUUGCAGUCCGACGACCAUGAAGAAAGGGUGCAGACCUUUCUAGCUGAUCGGCAAAUACAAUGGCGCUUCAAUCCUCCUUAUUCACCAAACAUUGGCGACUUAUGGAAAGCCGGUGAAAUCAUUUAAACGCCAUCUCAUCCGUAUCGUCGGCACGGAGCUCUUAACCUUCGAGCGUCUCAACACCCUUGUGAUUGAGAUAGAAGUGAUCCUCAACUCCCGUCCACUUACUCCGAUAACGUCUGAUUCAAAGGAUCUCCCUGUCCUCACUCCCGGCCACUUCCUAUUCGGCGAUACACUUAUUAAUAUACGCGACCGAGAUUUCAGGGCUACUCCAACAAGUCAGUUAUCCAGCUGGCAGCGUAUCAACCAACUCAAACAGCACUUCUGGAGCCGUUGGCACCGCGAAUAUCUUACCGAGUUGAUCAGCCGUAAUAAGUGGAACAAGGGCAACUACAAAAUACGCGAAAACAUCUUGCCAUUAUCAGGGAGAACAACGUUCCAUCAAUGCAGUGGACCUUAGGCCUCGUAAUCAAGGUCCACCCCGAGGCCGAUGGAAUAAUACGGACAGUUACCGUACAGACGUCAACGAGCAUCUUGGAUCGCGGCGUCAAACGACUGGUUCCCCUGCCUUGUCAACCAGAUCCAGACCAAGUCGAACAAUCCCGACGAGCGAAUGAAGUGUAGGAGAUAUGCAACUGACCCAUCACACAGAAUUUUGAUCGGUGCCCUCUCAACGGGGGGAGGAUGUUACGUCGCGCAAGACAUCUGCACUCCAUCCCGCGCGGCUUGACAGCCAACGGUCUACGUGCCGUCCUUUGAACCCUCAAUAGGCCCAAGGACCCACCAUAAAUUUGAACUCCUAAAUGUUCGCACAUAUGGUUUAAGUCAAUAUGUUUGCCCUAAAAGACUUUCGAAUCCUAGAAGUGUUUUCGGCUGGUUUUUAGAAAGGUCCUUGGGUUUAUUACGCACUCUUUAGAAUUACGGAGAAAGCGUGUAGUGGCCUCACGCAAAAAGCGGAGAUGUCUAACGGAAAAUCCGGGUUUUCCCUUAAACAAAGAAAUCAACUAGCAACAUUGGUUGGAGGUUCCGACCCCUCUCAUCACUUAUUAAUAUCGACUAAGCAAUGGACAUAGCAGAUCGUUGCCCUCACCUUACUAACGAAAAAUGUGAGCAACGAAUCCGUUUUCUUCACUCAAAAACCACACCUACACCGAGCUUUCCUCCGUAAUUGCAUGAGAGCAAAGCAUCAGUCUACUUCAUACAGUCAAAGUCUAGCCAUUCGGUCAGUCAAAGUCUGGUCUGUUCAGUUACCAUUUCUAUUACAACACGAGGGCCUUUAUCUAGAACUCUCGUUUACGCCCUUUAUAUCAUACGUAACGGUGUAACUCAUUGAUGUAAUAAGUGUUGGAAAUAUACAUUUUUAUAACCCUGUUA